rnacentral:rRNA from 1 species
AGUGAACGCUGGCGGUAGGCCUAACACAUGCAAGUCGAACGGCAGCACAGUAAGAGCUUGCUCUUACGGGUGGCGAGUGGCGGACGGGUGAGGAAUACAUCGGAAUCUACUUUUUCGUGGGGGAUAACGUAGGGAAACUUACGCUAAUACCGCAUACGACCUACGGGUGAAAGCAGGGGAUCUUCGGACCUUGCGCGAUUGAAUGAGCCGAUGUCGGAUUAGCUAGUUGGCGGGGUAAAGGCCCACCAAGGCGACGAUCCGUAGCUGGUCUGAGAGGAUGAUCAGCCACACUGGAGCUGAGACACGGCCCAGACUCCUACGGGAGGCAGCAGUGGGGAAUAUUGGACAAUGGGCGCAAGCCUGAUCCAGCCAUACCGCGUGGGUGAAGGAGGCCUUCGGGUUGUAAAGCCCUUUUGUUGGGAAAGAAAAGCAGCAGGUUAAUACCCCGCUGUUCUGACGGUACCCAAAGAAUAAGCACCGGCUAACUUCGUG